GAGGUGAGAGUGACAAUAUUACAGCAAUAUUAUUACAAUAUUACUUCAUAAAUACAACACACCGCAUCAUUCUCUACAGGUGUGCUAUUAUCAUUUUCUCAUUUGUAAGUUGCUUUGGAUAAAAGCGUCUGCGAAAUGAAUAAAUGUAAUGUAAAUGUAGAUCUAGAUGAAUAAAGUGGGCGUGGCAGGAGGUUGUACCUGAGGCUCUGCAGCGAGGACGCGGACGGUAGGGCCUCGGAAAGUUUCUGCACUCCGGCGUCUCCGAUGCAGUUCUGAGAAAGACUGGAAUGUCGGAGGAAGGAAUUUAACGUUACACGCACUGUGACACUUUCACACAGAGAUUUUAUAAAUAAUCAGCGAGUUCAGGAACACGUGCGAGACUGACUUCAGCAGCUUCAGAGACGACAGCGAGCUCAGCACACCGGCCAACUGCUCCGCUUCAGCAUCCCCCAUUUUAUUAUUCUCCAGACUGCAAGAGACAAGCAGAGUGUUCAAGAGAAGCGCAGUGAGGUGAACGUUUAUAAGAAGAGAACUUACUCCAGAUGAUGGAGAGACUGAAGAGCAGAUAAGACCUCCGCCUGCCGGAGAAAAACCUCAGGACUGUUCUGCUGGCCGAGCCUUUAGUACAUAAAGAGAACACAACACGCUGAUCAGUACCGACACACACACACACACACACACACACCACCACAGUGUUCCUGUGGCCUCAUCAAUCCUCAACAUGCCCCUGUUUAUUACUUAGCACCAGACGUUCACUACCUGAGGGCUUGUGUCACCAAUUUACAGAAAAAAAUGUAUAGAAGAGAGAAGAACGAAGCUCGUUACACAUACCACAGGUGUGUGAGUGCAUACGCAGACACCUAAUUCAUUUAAUCUAUAAUAAAGUAAGUAAUCUAA